GCUAUAUGUAGCUCAAUUGGUUAGAGUGUGGUGCUAAUAAUGCCAAGGUUGCAGAUUUGAUGCCCGUAUGGAACA